AAGGAGCUGUGCGUUCCAUUUAUACUUUGAUUCAACUCACCUUGGCUGCAGUGUGAGACCAGCCUGAUGCUGCUGCCAGAGGGACAAGGGCCAGCCUGUUGCUGUGGCCAGAGGACAAGGAUCAACCUACUGCCUGCCAGCCAGAGACCUACCGGCAAUCUGCAACUUAAUGUUCCGCAGAAGGUCCAGCUGGUUGAGCGGUGGGAUUAGCCUGUGAAAAGGAUACAGAGAAAACCACAUGAGACUUUUAUUACAUAAACAUGUCUACACAAA